AGAACCUUACCUACUCUUGACAUCCAGAGAACUUAGCAGAGAUGCUUUGGUGCCUUCGGGAACUCUGAGACAGGUGCUGCAUGGCUGUCGUCAGCUCGUGUUGUGAAAUGUUGGGUUAAGUCCCGCAACGAGCGCAACCCUUAUCCUUUGUUGCCAGCGGUUCGGCCGGGAACUCAAAGGAGACUGCCAGUGAUAAACUGGAGGAAGGUGGGGAUGACGUCAAGUCAUCAUGGCCCUUACGAGUAGGGCUACACACGUGCUACAAUGGCGUAUACAAAGAGAAGCGACCUCGCGAGAGCAAGCGGACCUCAUAAAGUACGUCGUAGUCCGGAUUGGAGUCUGCAACUCGACUCCAUGAAGUCGGAAUCGCUAGUAAUCGUAGAUCAGAAUGCUACGGUGAAUACGUUCCCGGGCCUUGUACACACCGCCCGUCACACCAUGGGAGUGGGUUGCAAAAGAAGUAGGUAGCUUAACCUUCGGGAGGGCGCUUACCACUUUGUGAUUNUGAAACGACACACUGCGUCUGUUCUCCGUAAUAAGAACAGGAUGACGGUGUGU
rnacentral:ncRNA from 1 species